UGGCGGCGGUCUGAGACGACCCCGCUCCGGCUGUUGGCGCGGCGUGAGUAGCGGCAGGGGCUGAAGCGGUGGUCCGGCUAGACUCCGCUCCAGUUGCCGUCGUAGCAUGAGGCGCUCCCGCGGCAACGGUGUUUGCUGUGGUCGAGCGUGUCACGCGGCGUGGCGACUGUCGGCCCGCUUGCCGCUCUUCCACAUCGCCAACCUUGCGGAGGCGCCUUCUUGGUGGGGCCGGAGGCUCUGCUUCUGGUGGGCUGUCUGAAGACGAGGUAGAAGAAGAGUCGAUUUGCAACGAGCCGCUUGUGUCCCUGGCGGGCUCGCUCGGCUCGGCGUCUUGCCCGGCAAGCCCCUUUUCGCCGGCAGGCUCCCCACGCUCGGCACGGCUUGCCGCUUCCGCUGCAUCAGCCUCCGCCACAGUAAAACCAAACUCACCCGCGGCUGCGGCUGCCGCUGCCUCUUCCAUCCUAGUGGCGAUGAGCGCCAACUCCGCAUCCGUGGUAUCGCGGGUGAGGCCGUCCUUCUCGUCGAGACGUAUUGGCACUUCCACCAAGUCGUCGAAGAAUUGCUGCACGACCUCGUCUGCAGGCUCCUGCCAAGUUGGCACAAUCCCGUGCGAGUCGCACUCCGGCAUCAUUGCACGGAUGCGAUCGAGCUCGGAAUUGUUGCACAAAGGCACGAUGCCCCCCGGCAACCUGAACACCUCGGGAUGCUGGGGGUCGUAUCUGAACAGCUCCUGCAGCAUCGCGUCGAGCUCCAGGACUGUGAAGUUGUAAUUGAGGCCUGGCCGCAGCCACAUGAUGUCUGCCGCGUUCUUGAACUCCCAUGUGGGCCUCCCCCGUUCCUGCAGGGGGGGCGAUGCGGUGGCGAAGGAAGUCUGCGCCAACAGCACCAACAGUAAGCCCGGCAAACCUCAGGCGCAGGAUCCUGGUGACGGCAAUCUUCAGCCUGGCGUCCUCCGGAGCCAUAUCGCUCCAGUCGCCGCCGCGUGCUACUGGGGUUUUGCGCUGGGCGGUAAAUGGCUGCGGAUCCUCUUCGUCAAUCCAGCACCAAUCCGCUCUCCACUCCUCCCACUUGCCGCGGAACUCUCCAUCCAGAUAGGUCUCUUUCUUGCCGGACCUUGAGAUCCAGGCGAUCCCGCCGGACAGAGGCUCUCCCCUCUCUACUCAGGGUAUGAAGAAGUGGCGGAAGAGGGCUACGUUGGGAAGGACUCCGACAAAGUUUUCGCAGAGGUGUGCGAAAACUGCCAUGGUCAGGAUGGCAUUGGGGGUGAAGUCAAGGAGAUGGAAUCCAUAGGUGUUCAUGAUGUCGCAGAAGAAAUCAGAGAAGGGCGGGCAGAGCCCGCAGUAGAAGAACAGAGCGAAGAAGGGAUAUCCGUUCGGAGCCUUCUUCCAAGCAAUGGCGGGGAGUACCUUUGUGCACGGAUGCGCGCGCGUCUCCGCCGACCAGAAGAGGUAGUACUUCUCCUUCAGCUCCUUCGCGGCGAGCCUUGGGGGGAAAACUGCCCGCUCCUUCCGCAGCGCUGCGAGCCGCUGCGCCUCGGUCGACUUCACGGCCUUCCCCUUGUCGGCUUUCGGAGCCAUGGCGGAAGCAGUGGAGGAGGCCGACGGCGUUGGUGAUGCUGGCGGCGAUGGGGGGCGCUGCUCUCUCUCUCUCUGCUCUGGGAAGACGAGGGAGCGGCGGAGGUUUCUGAGAUUGGGAACGGCAACGGACGAAUGUACGAACUGCCCCCAUUUCCCCUGCUUAUAAAGGGGGAGGGGGCGGACGUUCCGCAUUUCCGAAUAAAAUAACCACCCACGACCUCUCCCACAAUGCCGCAUUCAACGCGUGCCGUUCGGGGAAGGCGCGGUGGAAGCGGAGAGAUAUGCAACGUGACCUAGGCCACGCGUGCCCGUGCACUGUAUUGGGCCUGGCCCAACAGCGCUCGGCACCGUGUAUGGCCCAGGCCCGGGGGCUCCUGUCGGUGUACUAGAGUAGGGGUACCCUAGUAUCCCGAACUUGUGCACGGGCAGUCGCAGCAUCCCGCGGCAAGGCUUGCCGCGGUGGCUGCCAAGACCCUCCACGGCUACUUUGAAGACCAUUCAAGAACAAAGUACUCAAACCAAGGCCCCGGCAAGAGGAGCUUGCCGGGAAGACCAACCAAGGCCCUGGCAAGAGGAGCUUGCCGGGAAGGCCAACCAAAGCCCCGACGAGAGAAGCUGGCCGGGAAGAAGACAAGACCCCGGCAAGAGGAGCUUGUCGGGAAGGCCACUCAAGGCAUACCAAGAAAGCUUGCCGCGACGCGCCGUGCGUCCCGGCAAGGCCCGGUGAGCGACAAGCUCCCGAACACGACAAGACGACGACCGCGGCAAGGAGCUUGCCGCGGGAAAACCCCACUUCGCGCCCGCGCUCCAGCACACCUGCCAAUGUGUCGCUCUGGGACCCUCCCAAGCACACGUGGCAGGAGGCCGUGCUGCUAGGGGUGCGAGGUGGCAAGCAGGCGCUGACAAGAUAACCAUCGUGGCAAACGGUGGCGUCCCUAGCGGUCCCUUUCGGUACUGUCUAGGCGACACAGACGGGCAAUUAAUGCCCUUGUCCCCUGCCGCCAGGGUUAGGUAUGAUAGCACUGUAGCAGGUAGUUGUACCUACCACAGCACCUUUCCAUUUUUGCCCUUUACCCCCGUUGCUAUGUCGGUAACCCCUUGAGCAUAUAAAAGGAGGCCCGUAUGCAACGGGGAGGGGGGUUAGCCAGUUCGUCCGCCCACGCUCGGUCUUGCUAGCCGCCGGUGUGUACCAUAGCACUGCGCGCUCCCGAGCUAGAAAUUAAUACUAAUCCACAAAGCAGGAGUAGGGUUUUACGCAUCCGUGCGGCUCGAACCGGGGUAAAUCGCUCGCGUGCUUCACCUCGAUCUGCUCUUUGCGCGACCUCCGCCCCCGCCGAACCAAAAGGGACCCGGUCCGCCGGUCCCAUAGGUGCCCGUGGAUCUAGUGGCCCCGGCACAUAGUGAGAGAGGCACUCACAAAUAACAAGCAACUCAUAACAUCUCAUAUGAGAUUCCAAACAUAUCAACUUUAUUGCUUCACGAACUAUUACAAUUCCCAUUUCAUAACUCAACUCAACAUCCCCAAUGAAAAUAAAAGUGUGUUCCACAUUUAUUACGUGCUUUAUUCUAAUAUCAAGAUCAAGCUUUCCUCGGGUCUGAACAUUCUCUGGCAAAAUGUCCUACUCCUUUGCAGCGUAAACAAAUGACUUCAGACAAAUCCAGGGGCUUCCUGGUGGUUAUCUUGGCUCCCUGGGUUCUUGGCUUCCUUGCUGCGCAUUUGCUAGCGUAAUGACCUAAAUCCUUGCACCUAUAACAAGUGAUAUGACUCAGGUCCUUUUCUGCAGAAAUUGGGUUGUUAAGCGAAUACAUGCUCUUACUCUUCCUAGACUUCUUUUUUCCGAUCAAUUCUUCUAUCUCUUGUGGAUCAAACUCCACUUCUUCUGUCGGGAAGUCUCCCAGAUACUCUUGGCUUUGCUUCGUGCAAUAUAGUGAAAAAUUUCCUUCUUCUCCACAUGAAUAGCAAGCAUUGGAGUAAAAUCUGUUUGGUCUUUCUCCAUCAGGGUCGUCAACAUCUUCCUUCAUCACAGGUUCUUUUAAACUUUCCCUGAGUGCUUCUUCCAUUGCUUCCUUCUGCUGCUUGGUAAUUUCUUGUACCUUGGGGUAAAUAUGACACUGGGUAGGGUAGUGCGUAGUUCCUUCACACAAGAAACAAGUAACCUUCAUGGUUGGACAUUCUUCAACUUGGUGAUUUCCUUCACAAUGAGGGCAUCCAUCCUUGUGUUCUUCAUGGGUGUGUCCUAUUUCUCCGCAUAUCUUGCAGGCACAAGGUUUCUUUAUCGGGUUAUCACCGUGCUUCCGGAGAAGACAGGAUCCCAACAGAGUCUUCUUCAAUUCGUCCCAAGUUUUUGCUCCAUUACAUCCUUGUAUGGCUUGAUGCAUUUUCCACCAGGUUGCAGCACUUUUUGUGAAGUACUGAAGAGCGUAUUGAACCUCAUACUUCCUUGCAACGAAAUUGCUCCUGAAGUGAUUCUCCAUGUUUUGAAUCCAUAGCUCUGCCUCCAACUGAGUGAUCGGUCCAGAGAAUACAAGUCCAUCUUCAUUCAUCAUCUGUUGGGUCCAAGGGUUUUGGGAUGAGAUAAGAGGGAUAGAGAGAGAUACACACAAUACAAACAAUAUAGUUUUGUAAAUGGUUUUAUUUGUUGCUGUGGGAAAACACACACAAAAAUAUGACAGCUCACAAAUGAUCGCAUCUAACGUGAGUAUACAACAAGGGUUUGGUCUUAUAAAGGUCAUAUAAAUCUUGGAACUCGCGAGUGUCUUCAAAUUCUUCAAUUCUUCAGAGGCUUCGACUCUUGUAGCUUCAAUUCUUCUAGUGUAUGGUGAAGUCUGAUAUCGUGUACUUCUCGGAGUGGUCUCAUCAGUUGAUCCACCAUGUGGUCAAAGAGAAAAGGGGUAUUGUCUAACUAUUUGAGGUAAAAGGAAAGAUUUGAUAAAGCUCAGAAAAGAAGAGAGGUAAAGGAUCUUUUUGAAAAUAAAUUUUUAGAGAAAUCCUUUCCUAAGGGCUUUCCACUUUCUAAGGUCAUGUCCUAUAGUCAACAUGUGCUCUGAUACCAUCUCUGUAGUGACCCGACCUCAAACGGUCAAGCCUCUAUGUAUUUGUGCCAUCCCUGGAUCGGGGGUAUGCUGGCACAUACAGUACAUCAAUGUAUAUAUCAAAGUGCAAUCACAUGUAUAAAUAACAUAAAACUAAUAUAUAUACCUCCUAAGUCUCAGCGGAAACAAACAUAAGGGUGUGGAGUCCCAUCAACGCCAACGGCAAGUUGAGUGUAGACCGUAACCCUACAACGUAACUCUUACUCGUCGUAGAAAAUUCCUGCAACAUAAGACAUUGCAGCCCUGUAGGUCAGUACAUUGAAUAUACUGGCAAGUCACAUCAUAAGAAUAAUGAACCUAUUUGUACAUGCAAUUUGGCUGGUGGAAAGCUCUAAGUUUAGUUUUUGCAUAAAGCUAGUUUUUCCCUAGAAUAAAAGAUAUUAUUCUACCACUACAAUACAACAUAGGAUGAGUUGGCAAACCCAACUCAAUCCAUUCCAAAAUUUCAUUUAAAACCCAACUGUUUAAAUUAAGAGUGAUGAGAUCUCCCAGCAUUUCCACUACUAGAUGUUCAAGUUGUCCGUAACCGGGGACACGACUAACCGAUUAGGUUUUAACACUCUGCAGAGGUUUGCGCACUUUUCCCCACAAGACGCGACCGCCUCCCUUGAAAUUCUCGCACUGCAUGGCCUUUGAGAAUAGGAUGACCGAGACAUAGUCUUUUGAAAAUAUUCCCCCUUAACCCACGGAUAGGCCGGUACACCUAAAUCAUUCUACAUCUGCUAGCCCAUCCCGGAAGGGGUCACACUAACUACUCAACUAAGCCAGAGCCCAUAUUGGCUUGUGGAUGCACACGUAAGCUUCUAGACAUGAGAAUACGAUUGAUCUCUUUGAGCAUGGGGGGCCGACCACUAGUGGUACACCACCAUGGAUUAACCAUGCAUGCUCCCACUAUACUUCACCACCAUUCAAACCAAAUACCGCCCAGGUAGUUCAUUUACAAGUCUUGGUCUUGAUUACUACUUGGUCACUCAUGCGUCACCAUGUUCUCUUCCCAAACCACGUCUACAUUUAGUGAGGCAAAAAUAAACUUACACGAUGGUGACAAGGAUGUAUAGAUCAGACCUACCUCAAUGAACUACUAGGUAAUGGCAUAGCCAUCUGGCAACAAUAAAUCCUACCAUGCAAUCCUACCACAAAAGGACUAAGUGCAUCAUAUAAACAUAGGUAAUUGAAAGAAUGAUCAACUGUGAACUUGCCUUGAUACUGGUAGUUCAAUUCUAGAGAUCGAUAGUACUUGGCUUCACACUUCGGAUAGUCUAUCGUCAAAGUAAAAUAACAUACAUAAGAAAUCAUUCCAGAGAGCAAUAACAUGCAACACAAAAGACUCGUAAAACCAAAUGGAAAUCCACACACAUAACUUGCAUGCAAAUAAUUCUAGGUGCUAACAAUAAGUGACAUAAGGUGCAAAACCGUGAUGUGAUCUAUCGUUCAUACUUGGCAUAGUAAUAAAACUAUCAUCCACAGAUACGAAUCAUGUGAAAAGUAUAGUGACAAUGGUCCAGGUGGUAGGGUUUGGCUACGGUGACACGGUGCAAAAAGAAUCACAUCAAUCGGAGCUACGAUUUAGGAGAUAUGGCCAUUUGAAGUUUGAAUUCAAAUCUGAAUAAAGUUCAAAUCUGAAUCUGGAAAAAGUUUACAAACAUGAUGCUACUAGAUAGAUCUAAUCAUGAUGAAGAAUUUGCUGCUGGUUUCAUCGAAUUUUGAUCUAUGAUUAAAAAGAUACGGCUAUCCGAAGUUCAGGAACUAAUCUGAAAACUUAGGGACUUGACUAUGAAAAUUUUAUUCAUGACCAGGUCCCUGGCCACGUGGCGGGUUUCUAGUGGUUGAAAGUUGUUUACUUUAGAAGCUUAUAUGGCGAACGGCUGCUAUCUAAGCAAAACAACGGCAACGUCUAACUGGAACAAAAACCGAUCAGUUUUUAACAAAACCCGUGGUUUCAGAAACCCGUGGUUAAUCGAUCUAAUAUUAAAUAAAAAACUAAACAAACGAGGAAGGGGGCUCGCUUACGGUGACGACGACGAGGAACAGGGACGGCGGCGCUGGCUCGGGCGAUGGACGGGGCGGUGCCUGCGGUGCUCUUCGGCGACAUUGAAGAAGACGAACGAGAUGAGUGCGACAAGGGGGUCACGGUGGUGGUGGCGGCACGCGUCGGGGUGGCCGGGACGGGUGGAGCGAAGGGCGGCGGCUUCGUGCUCCGGCGAGGAUGUAGGUCAUCAGGGCGGCGUCUCCGGUGAAACCUAGGGGCAAUAAACAUGUCAAACGGAUGCGGUAGAUCGAGAGAAUGAGAUUGACAGAGAGAGUGGAGGGCGGGGUGGUUUACGGGCAACAAAAAUGACGGCGAGGUCCUCCGUCUCCAGCAAGAUCUAACUGACGAAGGUGGCGGCUGUGAUGAGUGAGGGGGCGAGCAAAGUGGCAGAAUCGAACGAGGGGCAUCGGGGGCAUUUAUAGGCGCGAGGAGGGGCUACGGAGUCGCGGGGAUGAUGCUUAUCCCGAGAGCAAUUGCGUCAGUGGUUGCGGGAGCGCGGGCGCGUGCUUAUCUAGCAGGUUGAGAGGGAGGUUCGGGAUGAAGGGUUGCGGGCCCCACUGGCAGCAGCGGUGGGAGAGAGCGAGCGAGGGAAGAGGGGUGCGGGCGAGCGAGGCGUAAGGCCUCUGGCAGCCUGGGGCGCUACUGGGCCGGUUCGGUGCGCUGGCUGGCUCUUGGGCCGAAGACCAUGGGCCGGUUGGCGGGCGCGUGUGCGUUUUUGUUUUUGUUUUGUUUUUUUCAGAAAGGAGACUCCAACAGAACUAAAUUAAACAAAAACUCUACAUAGGCAUAUUAUAUACCAAAAUGUUCAUAACAAUACCAAGAAUACGAUGAACUAUUUUUCAAGUUCAACUAAAUUCCACAAAAAUUCAUAAAAGUCAAACAAUGCUACUAUUGCAUUUAAAAUCAAUAAAAAUCAUUUUUUAAAUAGCAAAAUGAUUUCAAAUUUAUUUUCUCCUAAUUUUCCAUUGAAGGGAAUCAUUUUACCCUUAUUUCCAUUUAUUUAUUUUUAGGAGAAAAAUAAUUUGAAUUAAAACUAAAUAACUUCCAAGAGGAUUUUAAUUUGGAAUUUCAAACGACUUCGAAUGGAAAAUGAGUUUCAAAUAACUUCAAAGUGACUUCCAAAUUAUUUCUUUGAAACUUCCAACUCUAAAUAUGAAGAAGUCAUUUUAUGAACUCAUUGAGUUGCUUAAAGUUUCUAAAUUUGAAAUAUUUCAAAUGGAAUUCAAAUCAUUUUCAAACCCCUUUUUAUUUCUUUAAAUGGAAGGAGUCAUAUUAUCUUCACUCUAGGGUUUUGUGAUGAGAUGACUUUGAGUUCAUGGAGAUUAAGAAAAAUGCAAGACGAAAGUUUUGGGGAAGUCCUUGUAUUCCCUCUCAUUCAACUUUCAAAAAAAAAUUCUAUUUCCACUCAAUUUCACACCAUCAAUCACACAACAAACAAACAAAUAAUCACAAUUAUUUAUUUAAUAUAACAUUCCAAAAUUUAGAAUUUUGGGAUGUUACAUAUAUCCUACUCAUGCUUGCAUUCGGUGUUGAUUAAUUUUAAUGCAUGUUCAUGACGGUUGUCGCUCUCUAGCUGGUCGCUUCCCAGUCUUUUGCUAGCCUUCACCUGUAGUAAGCGGGAAUACUACUUGUGGAUCCAAUUCCAUAAACCCCAAAGUUAUUCCAUAUGAGUCCACCAUACCUACCUAUAUACGGUAUCUACCUGUCGUUCCAAGUAAAUUUGUAUGUGCCAAACUCUAAAGCUUCAAAUAAAUAUCCUGCUUUGUAUGCUCGAAUAGCUCAUGUAUCAACUAGGGUUGUCUGUAUCUUCCAUGUUAGGUGAGUUAUUGUCAAGAGGAGUGGAUUCCGCUCCUCACUCACGAGAAAAUGGCUGGUCACCGGGAUGCCCAGUCCCAUGCUCUAUGCAAAUCAAAUCAAAAUAAUUGCAAACAAAACUCCCCCGGGAGUCUUGUUAGUUGGAGGCACUCGUUGUUUCAAGCAAGCCAUGGAUUGAUGCUUGUUGGUGGAGGGGGAGUAUAAACUUUACCAUUCUGUUUGGGAACCGCCUAUAAUGUGUGUAGCAUGGAAGAUAUCGCCAUCUCUUGGUUGUUAUGUUGACAAUGAAAGUAUACCACUCAAAAUAUUAUUCAUAUCUAUUUCAAAACCGAGCUCUGGCACCUCUACAAAUCCCUGCUUCCCUCUACGAAGGGCCUAUCUAUUUACUUUGAUGUUGAGUCAUCAUCCUCUUAUUAAAAAGAACUAGUUGGAGAGCACCGCUGUCAUUUGCAUUCUUUACUGUUAGUUUACAUUGAGUAUGACUUGACUGGAUCUCUUUUACCAUGAAUUACAAUGUCUAGUCAGUCCUUGAUCUUUAAAGGUGCUCUGCAUUUAUGUUUUGCUGUCUCAGAUAGGCUAGCGAGAUACCAUCUUGUUAUAUUAUAUCAUGAUUGUUUUGAGAAAGUGUUGUCAUCCGAGAUUUAUUAUUAUUGCUCGCUAGUUGAUUAUGCUAUUGAUAUGAGUAAACAUGAGACCUAAAUGUUAUUGUGAAUAUGGUUAGUUCAUAAUCUUUGCUGAAAACUUGAAUGCUGGCUUUACAUAUUUACAACAGCAAGAGCAAACAGAGUUUGUAAAAGUUUUUCAUUAUCACUUUCAGUUUAUCAACUGAAUUGCUUGACGACAAGCAAAGGUUUAAGCUUGGGGGAGUUGAUACGUCUCCGUCGUAUCUACUUUUCCAAACACUUUUGCCCUUGUUUUGGACUCUAACUUGCAUGAUUUGAAUGGAACUAACCCGGACUGACGCUGUUUUCAGCAGUUGCCAUGUUGUUAUUUUUGUGCAGAAAUAAAAGUUCUUGGAAUGACCUGAAAAUCAACGGAGCAUUAUUCUGGAACAUAUAAUGAAUAUUGGAAGGAAGAUCCACGUCAGGGGGUGUCCCACCUGUCCAUGAGGGUGGGGGCGCGCCUGCCCCCCUGGGCGCGCCCCUUGCCUCGUGGGCCCCCUGAUGCUCCACCGACCUUAACCUGGACUCCAUAUAUUCACUUUCGGGGAGAAAAAACCAGAGAAGAAGGAUUCAUCGCGUUUUACGAUACGGAGCCGCCGCCAAGCCCUAAACUCUCUCGGGAGGGCUGAUCUGGAGCCCGUUCGGGCCCCCGGAGAGGGGAAUCCGUCACCAUCGUCAUCAUCAACCAUCCUCCAUCACCAAUUUCAUGAUGCUCACCGCCGUGCGUGAGUAAUUCCAUCGUAGGCUUGCUAGACGGUGAUGGGUUGGAUGAGAUUUAUCAUGUAAUCGAGUUAGUUUUGUUAGGGUUUGAUCCCUAGUAUCCACUAUGUUCUGAGAUUGAUGUUGAUAUGACUUUGCUAUGCUUAAUGCUUGUCACUAGGGCCCGAGUGCCAUGAUUUCAGAUCUGAACCUAUUAUGUUUUCAUCAAUAUAUGAGAGUUCUUGAUCCUAUCUUGCAAGUCUAUAGUCACCUAUUAUGUGUUAUGAUCCGUUAACCCCAAAGUGACAAUAAUCGGGAUACUUACCAGUGAUGACCGUAGUUUGAGGAGUUCAUAUAUUCACUAUGUGUUAAUGCUUUGGUCUGGUACUCUAUUAAAAGGAGGCCUUAAUAUCCCUUAGUUUGUGCUAGGACCCCGCUGCCACGGGAGGGUAGGACAAAAGAUGUCAUGCAGGUUCUUUUCCAUAAGCACGUAUGACUAUAUUCGGAAUACAUGCCUACAUUAUAUUGCUGAACUGGAGCUAGUUCUCUGUCAUCCUAGGUUAUGACUGUUACAUGACUGAUCGCAUCUAGCAUAAUUCUCUAUCACCGAUCCAUUGCCUACGAGCUUUCCAUAUAUUGUUCUUCGCUUAUUUACUUUUCCGUUGCUAUUGUUAUCAUCACUACAAAACACCAAAAAUAUUACUUUUGCUACUUUUACCUUUUGCUAUCGUUACCACUACUAUCAUAUUACUUUGCUACUGAACACUUUGCUGCAGAUAUUAAGUUUCCAGGUGUGGUUGAAUUGACAACUCAGCUGCUAAUACUUGAGAAUAUUCUUUGCCUCCCCUUGUGUCGAAUCAGUAAAUUUGGGUUGAAUACUCUACCCUCGAAAACUGUUGCGAUCCCCUAUACUUGUGGGUUAUCAGGAUGACAUUGUGUUAAUCAAUAGGCAUCUUGACGAGUCGCAAGGUAUGUAUUCGGAGCAGUCCUUACACAUACGUGUUUGUAAUAUAGGCGUGACGCUGAAAGUUGUAUACUGGGAUAUGCAUGGCUGCAGAUGGUGCUGCUGCCGCUGAGAUUUUUCGGGCGGAGCUGGCCUGGGCCAAGGAGCAAGCCCGGUUUAGUAAUGCGGCUGCCGAAAAGGCGUCGGCUGAGCUAAAGGCCGAACAAGCUGCUCGGCGCCAAGACAAGGAGAAAAUAUCCACGAUGGCGCUUGAACUAAAAAAUGCUACUAGCCGCUGUGAAUGUCUUGAGAAGGAGAAUGAAGCCAAAAUGGCUGAACUUGACAAGGCCUUGCGAGAGGCGAUAGAAGUGCGGUCUGAAUCUAGAGCAGCCCGUGAGGAGAUCCGGCAUGCUGGGGAGAUUGCGGCCGGUAAGCCCUUUUUUGCUUCAGACUAAGUUCGACGAUCCGAACUAUGCUCAGCUUAACCAAGUGUGGAGUUCUCCAGACGAGUUUUCAGACAUGUCGAAGAGUUCUUCCGGUGCGGCGCAGUUUUACCAAGCGCAAGAGGGGUAUACAACGGAGAAGCUUUUUUGGUCACAAUUUGGCGCAUCAAAGCGCCCUUUGUUGCUGAAUGAAUAGAUGUCCCAAUGCGCCGAGCUUCAUAGGAUAUCCGGAGCUGCCAUGAAGAACGUCAUAAUCCGGCUGUGGCCGACUGAGCCUAUUCUGAAUAGCUACUUCGGCUUGGUGCGGCGGCUUGUUGAUGCGGUGCCACGUAUCGAUGCUGUUAAGCGGUCGACGUGCAUUGAGGGUGCACAGAUGGCCUUUGCCUGUGUCAAGACAUACUGGGGGAAGAUGAAGGCCAUCGAUGUUGCAGCGAAGAGUCCACCCAAGGGCAAGGACCAUCACCCACCGGAGCAUUAUUUUGAGGACGUCUUAGAGGCUGCCCGCUUGAUAGAGGGUCAAUGCUCAAAUGACAUAAUAUUCAAGUGAGGUUUAUGGGAAUUGUAAAAGACAAUUUUAUAUUUAAUCUAUUUUUAUGUUUUGCUCGAAAGCUUUUGUUCCUCCUGUGUGGCCGUUUUUAUAUAAUCUGAAGGUUUUCCAGUUGCCGGCUUCAGCCUCCUGUUAGGAAGUAUGGGGGUGUUCGGAAAAGCAUUUGAUCACUCUUGACCCAACGUCUUGGUCCAUGAAGGAGGUGACAAUGCGGCGAACCAGACAAUUAGACUAUAGGGCAUUAACACUUUCACUUAGCCAUAGGAGUUUUAUGGUGGGUCUAUGAUAUAGGCCCUUGUACAUACGCGACUUAUUUUUAGUAAGAUGCGUUGCAAAAAAUGAUCUGAGAAAGAUCCUUCGUAUCACACGGAGAGAAUCGAUGAAGAUUUCGAUAAGUCGUCAAGUGGUUGACCAGCUCUCGCCGCAUCAUCACAGUCAGUUUUCGGCUUUCUCUACUGAGGUGCUUGACCAGAUGAACCGGAAGCACAAUCGUAGUAGUUUUCCCUUUACUACCCUAGCUGAUAGAGCGAAACAUAGGGUAGCAAGCACAAGAGCCGGGCAACCCAACUAUUGACCCAAGACAUGAUUCAGAGCUGAUGCAUAUAAGUCCAAAUUCGCGAUGCCGAAGUAUGCUAUAAAGCUGUUCAGACUUGCCGGCAACUCAUUUGUUCCCAUACCGAGCUCCUGGCGGGUUAUGCCGAGGUGUGUGUGUGCAAAACAACCAUAGGAGCAAAAAUUCGGAUCGAUUAGGAAAUAGUCAAUACUGGACACUGGUUACUUUUACUGGGAGCUGAGUGAUAUGCCAAUUAUUAUAUAGAUAACAAAGCUGCGACUCUGGCUAUUUGACACGCCAAGGGUCAAAGGCUGAGGAAAAAGGCACUUUACAGGCUCGGAAUAGAGAGCGCGGUCUAUAAAAAGUUAUUUUGGACCUCCUCUCACACGUCUGCGUCGCCUCUCUCGGUUAAGGGAUUGCUUGACAGGAAUAACCCUUGGGUGAUUGUACGAACCCAAACUCUGGUAGAGUACUCGGGGUGACCGGACCUUGAGCUACCUGUAGAGGGAAUAGUCAAAAGGAAAAGGGUAGUUAGAAAAGUAGGGGGGUUUAUAGGCCCACCCUCAUUGUGCUUCCGUCGAUGCCCAGGGUAUUUCAAGUGCAUAAUUAUGUAUGCGCGGUACCCACUUCGAAGGCACAUUAGGCGAACGGUGGAACCCGAAUUGCUAGUCCAAUAUGGACAUUGAUCGGUCAUGUUGAAUGGAGUCCAGCGGCAUGAUGGCCGACAUGAUAUGCGGCAUGAUAAGGCCGCUACGUAGUUCGGCUGAGGUAGCCGUAGUAUGAUCUCCUGUACGGAGGGAGUGUUCCGUGCGCUCACCUCUAGGGGUGUGUGUCACGUAUACCAUGUUUACUAUUUUUGCGUCGAGGGGAAACUGCUUCUGACCCCUGUUGUUCGGUUGGUGAGCCCGUUCGUCGUUGCUAUCGUCGGGCGGCCUCUUCCCCUUGUGUUCGGCAUUUAACUUGCUGGCCUAUUUGAAGACCCAACAGCUUCUGUUGGUGUGAUUAGUUGGUUUAUUGGGGCGGCCAUGGAUCUGGCAGGACCUAUCCAAUAUUUUGUCUAAAUUGGAUGGCCCGUCUUUGUUUGCCGUAAAUGGCUUUUUCCGUUAGCCGGGUUUGCGGCCGCUGAAUCCAGCGUUGGCCGCUGCGUCCUGUGUGCCCUCAUUAUUAUUGCGACGUUUGUUUUUAUUGCAUCGUGGCUUUCCAUUACUGUCCCACACUUUAGAGGUGCCCGAAUCGCUGGCGCUAUUGCUCCUACGGGCAAGCCAGCUGUCUUCUCCCGCGCAAAAGCGGGUCAUCAGAGUGGUAAGGGCUGACAUAGACUUCGGUUUUUCCUAACCGAGGUGGUGGGCAAGCCACUCGCCCCAGAUGCUGUGUUUGAAGGCCACGAGGGCUUCCGCGUCCAGACAAUCAACAAUUUGGUUCCUUUUAACUCAAAACCUAGUCCAGAGCUUUCAGGCGGACUCUCCGGGCUGCUGGACAAUGUGACUUAGGUCAUCAGCAUCUGGUGGCCGGACAUAUGUACCUUGAAAGUUAUCGCGGAAGGCAUCUUCCAACUCCUCCCAGCUGGCAAUUGAGUUUUCAGGAAGACUGUUUAACCAGUGCUGAGCUGGUCCUUUGAGUUUUAACGGGAGGUAUUUGAUGGCAUGAAGGUCGUCUCCACGGGCCAUGUGGAUAUGGAGAAGGAAAUCCUCAAUCCACACCGUGGGAUCUGUUGUUCCAUCGUAUGAUUCACUAUUUACGGGUUUAAACCCUUCUGGGAACUCGUGACCCAUUACUCUAUCAGUGAAGCAAAGAGGGUGUGCGACGCCUCUAUAUCGGGCCGCAUCGCGAGUAGCUCCAACGGAGUCCGCCUGCAGUUUUUGGCUUGGGUGUCGGUGUCAAAACCGGCGGAUCUCGGGUAGGGAGUCCCAAACUGUGCGUCUAAGGCGGAUGGUAACAGGAGGCAGGGAACACGAUGUUUUACCCAGGUUCGGGCCCUCUUGAUGGAGGUAAAACCCUACGUCCUGCUUGAUUUAUUCUUGAUGAUAUGAGUAUUACAAGCGUUGAUCUACCACGAGAUCGGAGAGGCUAAACCCUAGAAGCUAGCCUAUGGUAUGAUUGUAUGUUGUAUAUGAUCUAUCGACUAGCCUGACAUAGGUUUAUAUAAUGCACCAGAGGCCUAGGAUAACAAGAGUCCUAGCCGAAUACGCCGGUGGGGAGGAGUCCUUGUCUUGAUCACCAAGUCUUGUGGAAUCUUCCAUGUAUGCGGCAACUGUCCGAACUGGCCCAUGAGUAUACGGCCAUGGGGGUCCUCGGCCCAAUCUAACAGAUCGGGAGACAACGUGGUGAGUACCCCCUAGUACAGGACACCAUUAGUAGCCCCCUGAACCGGUCUUCAAGUUAGGGACGCUCCUCGAUUCUUCCGAACUGUUCUUCAUCUUCGAUUGUCGGUCUUGAAAACUGGUUCAACAAAUCUUCUCAUCUUCGAUCUUGAGGAUUGCCGAAAUGCAUUCGACGGGUUUACACGUCGGGUAUCCAAGGAGCCCCUUUAAGUUUCCGGCCUUUAUCAAUGCCUUGUUAUUUUUAUGCCACACCUCGGGUUUGAAGUUGUUCCCGGGAGGCAGUGUCCUCUUGCAUCCGAGCUCUAACGCUGGACUGCAUUCGAGGUAUCUUUUGCAGUCGAGCACCAAUGCCAGACUGCUUCCGAGCUCCUAUGCCGGACUGUGUCCAAGCUCCAACGCCGGACUAUAUCCAAGAUGUCAUAGAUCACCUUGGUCCAAAAAAGUUGAAGGAGUUUAGCCGAGCUUAAUGCCGGAAAUGCCCUCUAUGGAGCCAGCCACUAGCGCCCGAGCUUUAUGCCGGACUGCUUCCGAGGUGGUGCACCACCCCGACUAUGGGCCGAUUUUUUGUCAAUAUUUUUGAUUGGUGCAAUUUAUUCUCUGCCGAGAUAUAUAGCCAGUAGCCCUCAAGGUGUGUAUCGGUUUAAAACCCGAGAUGCACUUGAAGGAUGACGUAAGACCGUUGAUCCCAGUAGCCGCUGAGACUCAGGUUGAUUUGCAAAAUCGGCCUGAGGAUCAAGUCCUAGCUUGGCAGAAUACUUCGGGACACAAAAAGCGGCAUGCUCUGUCCUCGAGACUCAGGUCGGGUGCCGUCGACCAACCUGAGGAUCAAAAUCUCCUCGGCAACUGUAUUACACUUAAAAUUUUCUGCAUUGAACAGGCAAUGCAGUAGCCCCCGAGACACUGGUCGGGUGGCAACACCAGAUCAGGGGAUCGAUGUGCCCCUUCAAUAUGUUUAAAUAAUAAGCCCGAAGCCCAGUAGCCCCCGAGCCUUAAUGCGGGCACGGGUGGCCGAAUAAGGAUCAAUAUCCAUAGUAAAAUCACAAAUUAUGUGUAAUGACUCUAUGUAUCCAAGUACUUUACGUCAUUAAUGCUCGGAUCCGCAUUGUAGAAAACUUUGUUGACCGACCAUCGGCUUCAACCUCCUCAGCCAGUAGCCGAGGAGUGUUUGUCCUACUUUAUAAAGCCUUUAUGAGGGCAAAGAUUUACGACAAACAAGGCAAAUUGGCCAUACGGUUUUAUAAACAAAGGUACGCAGAGAGAUAUGUUAUAUCACUGUAGAACAUAAUAAAUGUCUUCCAAAGAAAAUAAUCCCGCUAUCGGUUCCUUUCUUUGGGUUGUCAUGCUGAGCAUCAUCAUGAAACCUCAGCUCUAAUGUAAGAGCAAAAUAUUGAGGAUUUAGUUUGGGAGGCCAGUUACUAGCCCCCGGUAGUGUUCAGCGACAGUCGAGGUCAAGCCGUAAAGUCUCCGGCCAAUGUUAUGAAUGGCCAGUCAUUUAACACCGUCAUCGGAUUACUGACCAGUUUACGCUUAUUGUGACAGUCAGUUUUCGACUUUCUCCACUGAGGUGCUUAACCAUGUGAGCUGGAAGCACAAUCGCAGUGGUUCUCCCUUUGCACACCUAGCCGAACAAAGUGGAACGUAGGAGGCAAGCGCAGGAGCCGGGAAAUCCAACUAUUGACCGAAGACACAAUUCGAAACCAAUGCAUAUAUAGUGAGAUCCGAGAAUGUAUUUGCCGAACCUAUAAAGGUUUCCGGCAUUGCACUGCGAGACUUGUGCUAAAAACACACAAAUAGUUAAAAAGUGUCAUAGGCUUGGAAAACCAAAAAACGUCAGUGAAAACCUGACGUCCGAACAAGAUCAAGUGUUCAGUGCCAAUCCGAAAAUUGGAAGAAAAAAUUAUGCUUGUGUCGUGCAUUAAUAUUACACAUCCGAUCUCAAGACUUCAAGCGGGUCAGCCUACGGCUGCAGCCUCCUAUCCCGAAGGCGGAGUGCUUCUCGUUAGACCAGUUUAGCGAACUAAACUCGAGCGGUCACUAGAGAGAAAAUGGGUUAUCUGGCUAUUGACCACACACUCACGUCAAAAAAGGAGCGAUAGAAAAAGACUUUGCAACGACCAAGAAGAAAACACAUUUACUAUAAAAUAGCUCAUAUAAAUUUUAAGAGCCCCCAAGUGACUUGGGUAAAAGAAUUUUAUGUAUAAUGAUUGUAUGUACCGAAUUACUUAUAUCAUAUCUUUGUCAACCAAACUUUAAACGUGUCUUAACCGACCUUUGGCUUCUCCCUCUUCGGUCAAGGACCGAAAAGUGUUAUGUACUCCACCUAUCGAGAAUACAACAGUGUUUCCGAUAACUAGGCGACCGGGCCAUAAGGCUGUAACAGACAAAGCGCGCUCAGGGAACUUAUGCUAUAUUACAUACGAAGUGUAAGAAGCAUCUUCGAAGAAAAUAGUACCCCCACCGAUACCUUCCUUCGGUGCUCAUUAUUGCUAUGAGACUUGUGCAAUAGUUUUUUUGUACUCAUGAGUUCCGUUGUGUGCCGACCAUGAUUGAAAACAAUAAGAGCGCUAACUUUCGGCUUCACCUAGUCUGAAGUCAGAGCUCGGAGGACUCGGUCGUGACAAUCGUAGAGGUGCUCCCUUUACUCCCUAGCCGAACAAUCGGGAACAUAGGGGUAAGCACAGGAGCCAGGCAACCCAGCUUGCAAAUCGCUUAAGUCAAUAUGGUGCAUAUUGUGGCGUAAUACACGAACAAGGAACGAAGCCGUACAAGUAUAAUCAUAUGCUAGAGGAAAAGCUUCAUAAAGGAAGCCCCCAAUAAACAGGGUAUUUGAAUAUGUGUGUUACGAACAAAGUUUGGACAAGGAAAUUUUUUACAAGCAACUUUUUUCCAAAAAGGUAUAAUGCUUAGUCGAACCGAACACAAGUUAAAAAUUAAAACUUUGAGCAUGAAAGCGACUUAGCUGGUUAAUGUGUUCGGCAUUGAUGACGCGGUCCGAGCUUGAUGCGGGACAAGGUUCUAUCCCCCAAGCCGGUCCCGAGGUGGCGGAGCGGAGAGGUCGACACGCCGAAGUGGUGACAUAGCACGGUCAAUGCAGACCGACGAAGUCCCCGGAUCAUUUUCCUGUGCACAAAAAAUAGUGCAAAUCGGAGAUAAUAGUAAUAAUAAUAAUUAAAAAAAUCGUUUCAUAAUAAAUAAUUUAUGCAAAGUGAGUAAUAAAAGAAAUAUGACCUAGCACCGAAGUAAAUGUCGAUGCAAGGCAUCGGCGUGAUGCGGUAAAGGCGCGGCAAAGCCUGAAUUCACAGGUCGGUCCGAGUUCCGGAUAUGGCGUUCGCCGGACUAUGUACGGAAACUGACCGAACCACCACGUGACCGUCGUUAAUGCAGCCAUCACUUGAUAGAACUGUGUAUAGAUGAUGGACAAACCAGAGUAACAAUUCCUUGGGAAAAAUAAACCCAAACAAGCAAAAAAUACUAGGAUUAAUAGCACCUGGUUUAUUUGUUGUAGCAAUCUGAAGAAAGGUGAUUCCAAAAACUGGGACUCGGUCCGCACACCCAUUGCCGGAUGGGAGAUAAAGCGACGGUAUGGCGAUGCUGGCAAAGGUUGGCUCGCCGAGGCAAAGCCCUCGGUCCAGCUAACGUGACGGAGCUGGUCGGCUAGUGACGCCGAAGUCUCCGGAGUAGGUUGAUGAAGAGAUGGAGAAGCCACCGGUCCAGCCGACAUGUCGAAGCCUCGAUGUCAGCCGAUGAGUCAAAGUAGGUCGGUGUGAUGGACACCAGAUUGAAGAAGCAAUAGUGCGGCCCUACCGAUGCAGGUUGUGAUGUGGUCGAUGCCGGCUUGAUGAAGUGACCGUGCGGCGAUGCCGGUAUACCCGCUCCGUGUAAUCCAUGGGGCGGCGAUGUUGGUGAUGAUUUAUCCUUCACGAUGCCGGACUCUUGUUCGGCUUGCCGAGAUGAUGAUCAGAAGAAGUUGAGCUCGGGUCAACAAAGUGAUGACGUGUCUAGCGCAGGUCAGCAGCCUUGGAGCAAUAUCGCCGGACUGGUUUGACACCAGCAUGAUGAUGAAGGCGACCUUAGGGGAGGCUUAAAAAUUUACGGGCACGUGUUUAAAAACAACGCACAAUACCCUAGAAGAGAAUUCCUCUAAAAAGGUUGUCCAAUGUCACGUUCAUAAAGAAACAUGAAUUCGGGUCGGAUCCGUAUUCACGUAGAAAAUGGAUCCGAAAAUUGAUCCACUCAUCGGAAGGUUCCCGGAGUUUGAACCGUCGGAUCGGAAAUUUGGUGGGGUGGGAGAUAUGGGAAUUCCGCAGUAGAUGAACGGUUGGAUCUUCCAAAGGACCUCCGAGCUAGGCUCUGGAGACCACGCCCUAAACUCGUCUAGAUUCCCGUCCAGAUUUGACAGGGCUCCGGUAUAUCGUAGAUUGUCGGAGAUUCCUCCAUUGGAACUCGACGAAAUUUUGCAUGGCUGUUCUAGACUCAAUUCCGCACAAUUCCACGAAAGGGAUCGUCAAAACGAUGCUCUAAGAGGUGGUGGCAGCGGAUACAAGUUUGCUGUUUGGAAAAACAGCAUGGUCGCCCGAGGGCAAUGUUGACGUUGAGCCCCCGAGCUCCAUGGAUGAUUCCUCCAUGAUCUUGAUAGAUAUCGGAGUUGAUGUUGAUGAAGGACCUCAUACGGACAUGACGAUCGGAGAUGGAGCACGGUCCUCGGUCGAGCCAAGGUGACCAGUCGAGCUGGCGAUGAAGAUGUCGUCAUUGCAGUUGACCUGCAGAUGAGCUAUCGAUCCUUUUGGCGAUCACACAACGGAACUCUCAAUUAAAGCACUAAUGUCGGUGUCAAAACCAGCAAAUCUCAGGUAGGGGGUCCCAAACUAUGCGUCUAAGGCGGAUGGUAACAGGAGGCAGGGAACACGAUGUUUUACCCAGGUUCGGGCCCUUUUGAUGGAGGUAAAACCCUACGUCCUGCUUGAUUUAUUCUUGAUGAUAUGGGUAUUAUAAGAGUUGAUCUACCACGAGAUCGGAGAGGCUAAACCCUAGAAGCUAGCCUAUGGUAUGAUUGUAUGUUGUAUAUGAUCUAUCGACUAGCCUGGCCUCGGUUUAUAUAAUGCACCAGAGGCCUAGGAUAACAAGAGUCCUAGCCGAAUACGCCGGUGGGGAGGAGUCAUUGUCUUGAUCACCAAGUCUUGUGGAAUCUUCCAUGUAUGUGGCAACUAUCCGAACUGGCCCAUGAGUAUACGGCCAUGGGGGUCCUCGGCCCAAUCUAACAGAUUGGGAGACGACGUGGUGAGUACCCCCUAGUACAGGACACCGUCACCGGGCGUGACUAGGUUUGUCGCAUCCGAAUAGAUAGCCAUCAUCGCGUGUCGCGGUACGUCCUCGCGAUCUGUAGAUCGAUCUGGUAUAUCCUGCUUUACUGUCCAGGUCCUGCCAAAGGUCGUAUGUAUCACCCCGAGCUGUGUUGUUUCUGUUUUUACGUGGCAGUGGGGCGAGUUGUUGUUCGGCUUGAAUUGCCGCUUUAUCUCCGCCAAGUUGUGGUCGACCUGCCACAUUGUCCCGACUGCGCUGUGAUCGGUCGGCCGUGUUGCGCGAGUGAGGUAUGAGCUCUAGCGCCUCCUCGUCAAAUUGGGGUAGCAGUUUGCGCUUUGGGUAACUCCUGGCUGGGAGCUUGAGGCCGUAUUCCUUGGCUGUUAGGACAUUAGUCAAUCUGUCGUUGAGCAGAUCUUGGUCAGCUUGAAGCUGCUGCUGUUUCUUUUUUAGGCUCCUUGCAGUCGCUAUUAGCCCGUGCUUGAAGUGCUCCUGCUCGAGAGGUUGCUCGUGCACGAUGAAAUCCUCGUCGCCGAGGCUUACCUCAUCUUCGGAGAGCGAAAGAUAAUUAUCGUCCUCCUAAUCGUCAUGUAUGGCUUGUUCAUCAGGGCUAACUUGCCCAUUUUCCCGUUCCUCCUGUUCGGAGGUUACCUCAACGGGGUCUUUAUUAUCUUCGGGUUCGUCCAGAGUACUAUUUUCCCCGGUGCCAGUGUUACUAUUCUUUGAACGACGUGACUUAGAGCGGCGCUGAGGACGCCGAUGUUUUUGCUGUGUCUCAGGAGGUUUAUUCUCAACUGGAUUUUCUGUGUCAUCGUCGUUGGUUGUUUUGGAUGUGCCCACCAUGUACACAUUGUACGAAGAGGUGGCCGUACAGCGUCCAGUGAAUGGCGGACUUUGAUUUUGCUCCUCAUCAGCAUCGUCGUCAGUACCGUCGAUGUCUUCGGAGUCGUAAUCGAGCGCGUCGAUUAAAUCCUCGGCUGUGGCUAUGAAGUGGGUGGCGGGUGGGAAGCAAUAUUCUCCAUCAUCAACCCCUAGUUCUAACCAAACAUAGUUCGGCUGUGAGUCCCCCACCAAGGACACGUUUUUUAAUGAGCUUAGCACGUCGCCGUAACACCCACGAUGCGGCUAUAUCUCCCACGUGUCGGAGCACGACUUAGAGGCAUAGCCGCAUAGUAGGCAUGUCGCAAGAGGGGUAAUCUUUACACAUCCAAUGUACUAAAUAAGAAAGGGAUAAAGAGUUGGCUUACAAUCGCCACUUCACACAAUACAUAAAUGUAGCAUUACAACAUCUAGAAUACAAUCAAGGUCCAACUACGGAACCAAAAUAAAGAAAGACCACCCCUAAUGCUAGAUCCCUGAUCGCCCCAACUGGGCUCCACUACUGAUCGAAAGGAAAACGAAACAACACAACGAACACGAUCUUCAUCGAGCUCCCACUUGAGCUCGGUUGCGCCAACUGCACUGGUAUCAUCGGCACCUGCAAACUGGUUUUGGAAGUAAUCUGUGAGUCACGGGGACUCAGCAAGCUCACACCCUCGCGAUCAAUACUAUUUAAGAUUAUGGGUAGGAGAAGGUAGUGAGGUGGAGCUGCAGUAAGCACUAGCAUAUAUGGUGGCUAACUUACGCAAAAAAGAGCGAGAAGAGAAGCAAAGCACAGUCGUGAACUAGAAGUGAUCAAGAAGUGAUCCUGAAACUACUUACAUUCAAACAUAACACAAGAACCGUGUUCACUUCCCGGACUCCGCCGGAAAUAGACCAUCACGGCUACACACGCGGUUGAUGCAUUUUAAUUAAGUUAAGUUUCAAGUUCUCUACAACCGGACAUUAACAAAUUCCCACCAUAACCAUGGGCACGGCUUUCGAAAGUUCAAAACCCUGCAGGGGUGUCCCAACUUAGCCCAUCACAAGCUCUCACGGGCAACGAAGGAUAUUCCUUCUCCCAGGAAGACCCGAUCAGACUCGGAAUCCCGGUUACAAGACAUUUCGACAAUGGUAAAACAAGACCAGCAAGACCGCCCGAAUGUGCCGACGAAUCCCGAUAGGAGCUGCACAUAUCUCGUUCUUAGGGCACACCGGAUGAGCAAUCCGUACAACUAAAACCAACCCUCAAGUUUCCCCGAGGUGGCGCUACAAGUAGUUCGGACCAACAAUUAGGCCUCGUUUGGUUGCACGGGAUCCCGGAGGGAACCCCGCUUAUUCCCCGGUCAAGAAAAGUACGGGCCCGACCAAGCCAGGGAAAUCGAGCGUGAUGUUUGGACAGAUUCGUUGGGGAGGUAUCCCUGCCCUACCCAUGUCGUUUCCCCGGGGAAACGUUCCACGCCUCCAGGGGUCGGGGAGAGAAGCCACGGCUCGAGCGAGACCGCAAGCGCAGCGACCGAAAGGCAACAACGGCCAAGAUCCAGUCCUCCGCCUCCGAGUUUCUCCGGCAGCGACCGAAGAGACGGACCGCCCCCUCCCUCCGGUGCUCCGCCUGCAUGCUCCGCCCACCAGCGACCGCGACGGCCGUGGUCGUCACCCUCCUCCUUCCCCAGAUCUACCCUCCUCCUCAAAGUUCCUGCCCCUCCGAUGACGGCAACGGCGACGGUUCCACGGUCAACUUCCACCUACUUCCACCAUGGUUAGCCCCCCUCCUCUUCCACCUCGUAUUUUUUUCUCCAAUCCAUCAACUCACCAUCCAUGCACUAAUGCCUGAACUUGCUGGUCAGAUCCAAGAACUCGAGCCUUCUCUUCUUCUAAAUAAUUCCACAUGCCGGAGACAAAAUUUACUCAUUGGUUAAUAAGAAUCCAUCUCAUAUAUUCCUGUAUUGUUCCUUUCUGAAAGGGGGAAAAAGCAUAAGUCGGGGUAAAUUACUGUACUAGUCAAGACAACUAAUUUUCAUACAAGGGCACCAAUGCACAAGCAGUGUCAAUGUCAGAGUGUACUUUAUUUCAGAGAUGAUUGGAGCAACCUUUGAUCGGUUCAGCAGCAGUUGACAUCUAAUCAAAUCACAAUUAAUAGACUUGUAGGCAAAAUAUUGGAGACCUAGUGUAAGAUCAAGUCAUUAGGAGGAUGAUCGUAUAGACAACUAUCAGAUAGGAGUAGUAUCAAUUACAGUAUCAUUAUGCAUGGUUGUGUCAUAAUUAAUACACUAUAAUCAUGCAUUUCACUUACAUGCACACAAAGAGCUCCACAACUAGCAUUUUAGAAAGAUUAGAUUCAUAUACUGAUCUGUAUAUAAUUGCCUAUAAUUUGCAUUUCGGCACAUGUUGGCUCAUAUUUUUCUCAGCUAGCUCAUAUAUUCAUCAUAACACUAACACACGUCUUGCUUUUUUCUUAUUGCAGAGGCUGUCUAGGUGCUGUUUUGGUGUUUCCCGUGGUGCACAUGUGUGCUGCCUUUCCUACAAUAUGUGUUUUCAUGCAUUUUUGCGCAAACUUUUGUGUCCUGAACUGAUAAGUAUUCAAUUGUGUGCCACAUGCAGGUGCUCUGAACCUCUGACAUUAGCAAAUGAUUUGCUUUAUCCGAAAAUGCUAGGUGGUGGCGGCGACGUUGUGUUCAGUGGCUAAGUGCCUUUUGGUUCGUUGGUCAUUGAAAAUAUUUCACCUGAUGAAAGGUAUAUGACAGCCAUCCCUGGAUGCCUUCUCCUUAAUUUGUCACACAAUCAAAAUAUGUGAUGUGAGGAAGCUUAAAUUUAUUUGUUGGUAUAAAUUGAUCGACUAAUCAGCAAGAGAUUUGGUUGGUGAUGUUAUUUUUCAGGCUGUCUAGUUAGACGGCAUUGACUCGCAGACCUUGAUUAAGCAAGAAACACAACGCAUGGAUAGUACUCCCAGCUUGCCAAGUGCCAAUUAGUAACAGCAAACUUACUCAUCAGGAAAAUAACUUGUUACAGCUCCUUAUGGACUCCUACUAGUAAUUUUGUAUGUGUUGCUGAAUUUGUCGGGACACUCAAACACCUUGAUAUUUCUUUACUUUCUUUUCUUUGUUGCUUCAGUUAGAAUAUGCUAUCAUUCAAGUGACCUUCUAGCAAUCUGGUUGACAAAUGACAAACCUUUUCAGUUUCGACAUCGGUUUCACGGGAUGACACACUAGAGUAGACUAGCUACCUGCUAGGACGACAGUUUUACACCGAUGUUAAUUUUCCUUUCUUGCGAAUAAUUACAGGGUCUUGCUUAAGCAAGAGAAAGUACUGCCAAGUAUCAACUAGCUAGUUAUAGAUUCACUCAUCAGGGAAGUAACUUGUAACAGCAGUGGAGUGCGGGCAUGUGCCAUAUAUCUAUUAGUAAUUUAGUACUUUCAUCGUGCUUGUGCUAGCUCCAGGUUUGAAUCUUCCUUAGUACACUAUUUUUAGAAGUGAUGCUUACUGUUGGUUAGGUUCUUCUGAAGAACAAUAACAAUUUUUUAUAUUUGUUGCACAAGUUCUGCUAUGCAUUCAUUUACACUUACGACACUGCCGGAGAAUACAUUGUUUGUGAAUUGUUUGUUAGACUGCCUUACAUCCUUUUAUAUAUAGACGCCUUUAAUUCUCUGCACUAAAAAAUCCAUGUUUGUUUUGUCCUUACUUUCCCCAUUAUACAUUUUUUGUCCCCAUUUUUACUAAUUUUGGAAUUAUAUAUUGGCGGGAAGCUUGACAAUAAUGAUCUAUUGCUUAUCAUCUUCCUUCCUUCUAUCCUUACUUAUUUAGUAAUUAUUACUGAAAUGUAUGACACAAUAACCAGAAAUAGAAGUUAGUAUUCUGGCUCUUAUCUUUUUUCUCAACAAGUUCUGCUGAUUGUUAUUAAAAAUCUAAGCUAUAGUCAUCAUGUGCUCAUGUAAUUGUUACAAUUCUUAGUUGGAUACAUGGUGCUAACUUCCUUUUUUUGUAAUUCAACGAACAUCGGGUUGUGGUACCUGAUGUAGAUGCGGAGUGGAGAAAAGACCUGAGUAGGACUAGUGAUUUUCACCUUGCAGCCCAUCCUAUUCGAAAGUGUCUAUGCCUCGGACAUGACAACUUGAUAAUUCAGAAUUUUUUUAGUGAACAAACUAAAACAAUGAUGCAUCAAUGCCAAUUGUAUUGAUUGCUUUUAUGUUGGAACACGAAAAAAAGGUUUAGCUCAACGCUUAAUCAGAAUGAAAUGUGGACCGAUGGGUAUUUG
rnacentral:lncRNA from 1 species